UAGCAUUAUAGAGACAAAGCAAGACACAAGCACAAGAAGCACAAAAUCAAGCCUGUCUUUUUUGUUUUUGUUUUUGAGUACUCUUUUGUCUAUUUUUUGUUUUUGUUUUUCCUGUUCCUUCCUGUG
rnacentral:ribozyme from 1 species